CACGGGGGGAGCAAGCGUUGUUCGGAAUCACUGGGCGUAAAGGGCGUGUAGGCGGUCAAGUAAGUGGAAUGUGAAACGCCUCGGCUUACCCGAGGACCUGCAUCCCAAACUGCUUGGCUUGAGUAUGGGAGAGGAUGAGGGAAUUCCUGGUGUAGCGGUGAAAUGCGUAGAUAUCAGGAGGAACACCGGUGGUGUAGACGGCUUUCUGGACCGUAACUGACGCUGAGACACGAAAGCGUGGGUAGCAAACAGG
rnacentral:rRNA from 1 species